UAGAUGAGCUGGAACGCAGGAGGAGCACGUGUAUUUUUAUUUUAUUUUAUUUUUUUAAUUCUACGACGUUAGGUGCAGCUGCAUGCAACAAAAUGUAAAAACAUCCUAGGCCUUUUGGUUUUCAGGAGGUCUUUUGGUUUUCUUCAUUCUUCACACAGAAUGUGCUGACGCAUUUGCCCCCACUCCAGCAAGGCAAUGCCCGUGGAGGCUGAAAAGGGCCAUGAUAUAUGUACCUAAAUUAUUUCUAUGGGGCAAACAGUUCAACAACACCAAGAACAACUUCCGCUGCUUGUCGGUGAAGUGUGCAUGUAAAUGCUGCAUUCCUAUGCAAACAACAGAAGAAAGUUUUGUUGCAUUGAGUGUCAUCAUAUUCACCAGAAAAUGGCAGAUUAUCCAGACCAACUACAGUGCAUGACGGAGCAUCCAGAAUUUAUUGCCAGAUGUCUCAACCCGUGGGUACUGGACGUUGCCUACUUACAAUUCCAGGAACCAUAUCGGCAGCGACUGGAUUUUCCACAACACGAGUUUACAGAAGGAAGUGGAGAUCCCGACUGGACAUCCCAGAGAAAGCACGGGGAGAAGAUGCAAACUCCAAACAGGUUAAUGUGACAUACUGUUAUAAAGAGCUUGUGAGAUGGUGUUGGGAAAUUUUUGGCAGAAAUAACCACAUGCCACUUCCAUCCUGUUGUGUAUCAAAGAUUCGUGAUACCUUUCCUGAUCCAGAGGGCCAAGACUACACAGGAUUGAAAUAGUCGACAUCCCGAUUUUUUCCCCCCUUUGUUUAAAUGUUGAUGUAUAUGUUUGUAUAUGAAGUAAAC